AGUCCCUUCUGCAUGUGAAGGGGGCAGUACAAGCAGAUAUUAUGGUGCUGGAAGUUCAUCAGAUACCCCUCUGUCUUGUGAGUUGCAGCAGGAGAAACCAAAUUUAGAUACUCAAUAUAUGGCCUGGGAAUGCAUUAAUAUGACUCCUGGCCAUCGAGGCAAUCUCUCAAUUAGGCCCGAGGAUUCUAUCAGGAAUGUGAGAAGCAGGCCUGCACUUGAUCUGGAAACCAACCUGGCUAGGACCCAUUUAUCUAGCAACUCUUCCCACAAUUCCUAUCCUGCAGGCCACCCAUUUGACCAUUCUAGCUCACUGGAUUUCUCAGGUCAAAGUUCUAGUGCUAUGACACAUGACUGGAGCCAUACUGGAGUGUCUGUUGCUUCUGGAAGGAUGCUAGUUGCAGAUGUUAACGGUUAUAGUCAUGAGACAAACCAUUUCCUUGUUGGAAGCAGCAUAACUAAUGCUUCAGCAGAUGUUAGGGGAUAUCAUCAUGAUUUCAUUUCAAGUAGAAACCCUGUUGCUCCUCAGAGUUUCCAUAGUGCCUCAGCACAUUCUGUAAGAGGCAUUCGCAGUAGCUUUUCUCAGAGACCUAGCCCAACUUUCAGGGCUUCCACCAGCAGUUUGCGCUUGGGGCAUUUGGCACCUUCUGAUGAUGGAAUGCCAUUGGUUGCUGAAAAUUUAUCUUCCAGACAACCAAGGCUAUUAUCCACUGUAGCUUGGCGUAAUAGUGAUAGGAAUGGGAGAUCAAGGAAUUCUUAUGAGAGAUACCAUGAGCCAAGUCUUCAUGAUCGAUUUUCAUCUGAGGGUUUUAUGGUUGUGGACCGCUCAGCCUUUUAUGGAUCCAGAAAUAUGUUUGAUCAGCAUAGGGAUAUGAGGCUAGACACAGACAACAUGAGCUAUGAGGAACUACUUGCACUGGGUGAAAGGAUUGGGAGUGUCAGCACAGGGUUGGCUGAAGGUCUGAUAUCCAAGUGUUUGACAGAAACAGUAUAUUGUUCUUCAGGCCAAAGCCAGGAUGAAGGAACUUGUGUGAUUUGCCUGGAAGAGUACAAAGACAUGGAUGAUGUUGGUUCGUUGAAAAUUUGUGGGCAUGAUUACCAUGUGAGCUGCAUCAAGAAAUGGCUAUCAAUGAAAAACUUGUGUCCAAUCUGCAAAGCUUCUGCUGCGGCUGAUAACAUGAAGGAAUAAGUUAAUUACCUUGUCAACCAUUUAUAAUUUUUUUUAGAGGAAACUGUUUAUCAUUGUUGUAUAUGGUACUUGCUCAAAAGAAGAAAAAGAUGAACUGAUAUUUCUAGGGAAUACGUAAAUGAAUACUGGUCAUUGUCAAUCAAUUUGUUGGGAGGUUCCCAUCUUAAAUUUGUGGAGCCUGAAUUGCCAUUUCAAUGGUCUUUCAGUAAUUGUCUGUCAUUUUUUUUGGUCAUGG
rnacentral:misc_RNA from 1 species